AUGAACGCUAGCUACAGGCUUAACACAUGCAAGUCGAGGGGAAACGAUAGAGAAAGCUUGCUUUUUCUAGGCGUCGACCGGCGCACGGGUGAGUAACGCGUAUCCAACCUGCCCAUCACUUGGGGAUAACCUUGCGAAAGUAAGACUAAUACCCAAUGAUAUCUCUAGAAGACAUCUGAAAGAGAUUAAAGAUUUAUCGGUGAUGGAUGGGGAUGCGUCUGAUUAGCUUGUUGGCGGGGUAACGGCCCACCAAGGCGACGAUCAGUAGGGGUUCUGAGAGGAAGGUCCCCCACAUUGGAACUGAGACACGGUCCAAACUCCUACGGGAGGCAGCAGUGAGGAAUAUUGGUCAAUGGACGAGAGUCUGAACCAGCCAAGUAGCGUGCAGGAUGACGGCCCUAUGGGUUGUAAACUGCUUUUAUAAGGGAAUAAAGUGAGUCUCGUGAGACUUUUUGCAUGUACCUUAUGAAUAAGGACCGGCUAAUUCCGUGCCAGCAGCCGCGGUAAUACGGAAGGUCCGGGCGUUAUCCGGAUUUAUUGGGUUUAAAGGGAGCGUAGGCCGGAGAUUAAGCGUGUUGUGAAAUGUAGACGCUCAACGUCUGCACUGCAGCGCGAACUGGUUUCCUUGAGUACGCACAAAGUGGGCGGAAUUCGUGGUGUAGCGGUGAAAUGCUUAGAUAUCACGAAGAACUCCGAUUGCGAAGGCAGCUCACUGGAGCGCAACUGACGCUGAAGCUCGAAAGUGCGGGUAUCGAACAGGAUUAGAUACCCUGGUAGUCCGCACGGUAAACGAUGGAUGCCCGCUGUUGGUCUGAAUAGGUCAGCGGCCAAGCGAAAGCAUUAAGCAUCCCACCUGGGGAGUACGCCGGCAACGGUGAAACUCAAAGGAAUUGACGGAAGG
rnacentral:rRNA from 1 species